UGGGGAAUUUUGCACAAUGGGGGAAACUCUGAUGCAGCGACGCCGCGUGAUUUAGAAGGCCUUCGGGUUGUAAAAUUCUUUUCUAUGGGAAGAAAAUGACAGUACCAUAGGAAUAAGGACCGGCUAAUUACGUGCCAGCAGCCGCGGGAAUACGUAAGGUCCGAGCGUUGUCCGGAAUCAUUGGGCGUAAAGGGUACGUAGGCGGGUAAGCAAGUUAGAAGUGAAAUCCUAUAGCUCAACUAUAGUAAGCUUUUAAAACUGCUCAUCUUGAGGUAUGGAAGGGAAAGUGGAAUUCCUAGUGUAGCGGUGAAAUGCGCAGAUAUUAGGAGGAAUACCGGUGGCGAAGGCGACUUUCUGGCCAUAACCUGACGCUGAGGUACGAAAGCGUGGGUAGCAAACAGG
rnacentral:rRNA from 1 species